GACGAACGCUGGCGGCGUGCUUAACACAUGCAAGUCGAACGGAAAGGCCCUGCCUUUGUGGGGUGCUCGAGUGGCGAACGGGUGAGUAACACGUGAGUAACCUGCCCUUGACUUUGGGAUAACUUCAGGAAACUGGGGCUAAUACUGGAUAGGAGCUCCUGCUGCAUGGUGGGGGUUGGAAAGUUUCGGCGGUUGGGGAUGGACUCGCGGCUUAUCAGCUUGUUGGUGGGGUAGUGGCUUACCAAGGCUUUGACGGGUAGCCGGCCUGAGAGGGUGACCGGCCACAUUGGGACUGAGAUACGGCCCAGACUCCUACGGGAGGCAGCAGUGGGGAAUAUUGCACAAUGGGCGGAAGCCUGAUGCAGCAACGCCGCGUGCGGGAUGACGGCCUUCGGGUUGUAAACCGCUUUCGCCUGUGACGAAGCGUGAGUGACGGUAAUGGGUAAAGAAGCACCGGCUAACUACGUG
rnacentral:rRNA from 1 species